CAGAGUUUACAAACUCCCUAAACCAUUGUGAACCUACCACUAUACGUUGCUUCGGCGGGAUCAGCCCGAGGCCCCGUCAACGGGGCAGGAGCGCCCUAGCCCCGAGGUACCCUCAAACUCUUGUUUUACCAGGGACCUCUCUGAGUAUUAACUUAAAAUAAGUCA
rnacentral:misc_RNA from 1 species